UGCAAUCCGAUUGCAGGUGCUAUAGU
rnacentral:piRNA from 1 species